rnacentral:rRNA from 1 species
GACGAAACAGUGAUGUGGAGUAAAACUUAUAAAAGCGACCUCAGUUCGGAUUGAAGGCUGAAAUUCGCCUUCAUGAAGUCGGAAUUGCUAGUAAUGGCAGGUCAGCAUACUGCCGUGAAUACGUUCCCGGGCCUUGUACACACCGCCCGUCACACCAUGAGAGUUGGAGAUACCCGAAGCCUAUGAGCUAACUUUUAGAGGCAGUAGUCGAAGGUAGAAUCAAUGAUUGGGGUGAAGUCGUAACAAGGUAAC